GGCGGGACACGUGAUAUCCUGUCUGAAUAUGGGGGGACCAUCCUCCAAGGCUAAAUACUACUGACUGACCGAUAGUGAACCAGUACCGUGAGGGAAAGGCGAAAAGAACCCCUGUGAGGGGAGUGAAAUAGAACCUGAAACCGUGUACGUACAAGCAGUAGGAGCAGGCUUUGUCCUGUGACUGCGUACCUUUUGUAUAAUGGGUCAGCGACUUAUAUUCAGUGGCAAGGUUAACCAUCUAGGGGAGCCGUAGGGAAACCGAGUCUUAACUGGGCGUUCAGUCUCUGGAUAUAGACCCGAAACCAGGUGAUCUAGCCAUGGGCAGGUUGAAGGUUGAGUAACAUCAACUGGAGGACCGAACCGACUAAUGUUGAAAAAUUAGCGGAUGACUUGUGGCUAGGGGUGAAAGGCCAAUCAAACCUGGAGAUAGCUGGUUCUCCCCGAAAGCUAUUUAGGUAGCGCCUCGGACGAAUACUACUGGGGGUAGAGCACUGUUAAGGCUAGGGGGUCAUCCCGACUUACCAACCCUUUGCAAACUCCGAAUACCAGUAAGUACUAUCCGGGAGACACACGGCGGGUGCUAACGUCCGUCGUGGAGAGGGAAACAACCCAGACCGCCAGCUAAGGUCCCAAAUUACUACUAAGUGGGAAACGAUGUGGGAAGGCUCAGACAGCCAGGAUGUUGGCUUAGAAGCAGCCAUCAUUUAAAGAAAGCGUAAUAGCUCACUGGUCGAGUCGGCCUGCGCGGAAGAUGUAACGGGGCUAAGUAGUAAACCGAAGCUGCGGCAAUAUACUUUUGUAUAUUGGGUAGGGGAGCGUUCUGUAAGCGGUUGAAGGUGUGUGGUAACGCAUGCUGGACGUAUCAGAAGUGCGAAUGCUGACAUGAGUAACGAUAAAGGGGGUGAAAAACCUCCUCGCCGGAAGACCAAGGGUUCCUGUCCAACGUUAAUCGGGGCAGGGUAAGUCGACCCCUAAGGCGAGGCCGAAAGGCGUAGUCGAUGGGAAACGGGUUAAUAUUCCCGUACUUCUUACAAUUGCGAUGGGGGGACGGAGAAGGCUAGGUGGGCCUGGCGACGGUUGUCCAGGUUCAAGUGCGUAGGCUUAAGAGUUAGGUAAAUCCGGCUCUUUCUAAGGCUGAGACACGACGUCGAGCACCUACGGGUGUGAAGUCAUUGAUGCCAUGCUUCCAGGAAAAGCCUCUAAGCUUCAGAUUGUAAGGAAUCGUACCCCAAACCGACACAGGUGGUCGGGUAGAGAAUACCAAGGCGCUUGAGAGAACUCGGGUGAAGGAACUAGGCAAAAUGGUACCGUAACUUCGGGAGAAGGUACGCUCUUGAUGGUGAAGUCCCUUGCGGAUGGAGCUGACGAGAGUCGCAGAUACCAGGUGGCUGCAACUGUUUAUUAAAAACACAGCACUGUGCAAAAUCGUAAGAUGACGUAUACGGUGUGACGCCUGCCCGGUGCCGGAAGGUUAAUUGAUGGGGUUAGACUUCGGUCGAAGCUCUUGAUCGAAGCCCCGGUAAACGGCGGCCGUAACUAUAACGGUCCUAAGGUAGCGAAAUUCCUUGUCGGGUAAGUUCCGACCUGCACGAAUGGCGUAAUGAUGGCCACGCUGUCUCCACCCGAGACUCAGUGAAAUUGAAAUCGCUGUGAAGAUGCAGUGUACCCGCGGCUAGACGGAAAGACCCCGUGAACCUUUACUACAGCUUGGCACUGAACAUUGACCCUACAUGUGUAGGAUAGGUGGGAGGCUUUGAAGCACGUACGCCAGUAUGUGUGGAGCCGUCCUUGAAAUACCACCCUUGUAGUGUUGAUGUUCUAACGUCGACCCCUAAUCGGGGUUGCGGACAGUGCCUGGUGGGUAGUUUGACUGGGGCGGUCUCCUCCCAAAGAGUAACGGAGGAGCACGAAGGUGGGCUAAUCACGGUUGGACAUCGUGAGGUUAGUGCAAUGGCAUAAGCCCGCUUGACUGCGAGAAUGACAAUUCGAGCAGGUGCGAAAGCAGGUCAUAGUGAUCCGGUGGUUCUGAAUGGAAGGGCCAUCGCUCAACGGAUAAAAGGUACUCCGGGGAUAACAGGCUGAUACCGCCCAAGAGUUCAUAUCGACGGCGGUGUUUGGCACCUCGAUGUCGGCUCAUCACAUCCUGGGGCUGAAGUCGGUCCCAAGGGUAUGGCUGUUCGCCAUUUAAAGUGGUACGCGAGCUGGGUUUAGAACGUCGUGAGACAGUUCGGUCCCUAUCUGCCGUGGGCGUUGGAAGAUUGAAGGGGGCUGCUCCUAGUACGAGAGGACCGGAGUGGACGAACCUCUGGUGUUCGGGUUGUGUCGCCAGACGCAUUGCCCGGUAGCUAAGUUCGGAAUCGAUAACCGCUGAAAGCAUCUAAGCGGGAAGCGAGCCCUGAGAUGAGUCUUCCCUGAUACUUUAAGUAUCCUAAAGGGUUGUCGGAGACUACGACGUUGAUAGGUCAGGUGUGUAAGUGCUGUGAGGCAUUGAGCUAACUGAUACUAAUUGCCCGUGAGGCUUAACCAU
rnacentral:rRNA from 1 species